rnacentral:lncRNA from 1 species
CAUCGCUCAGCCGCACAGCACCUGCCUGGCAAGCACAAGGUCAUGAGGAAUCAAACUCAGGGCUCGAGCUUGCCAGGUUACCAUCGUUUUUGCGCCUGAAUAGUACUCUAUGGAGGGUGCUGACUCUGAUCUGCUGGUCCCUGGCCAGGCCGUUGUUGCAGAAAACGGACAAGAGGAGCGGACUGCAGCAGGAGCUGGUGUGAGCAGGACAGAAGGAAUCGGCCUCACGAGGCAGCACCUGGCCUCGGACCUCACGGUGCUAGUGCUCAACUUCGGGAGGUCUCACCUGACCUGCGUCACACACGAUCUGCUCCGGGUGAUUUGUUGUUCGGCUUGUUGUGCUGCUAGGGUGGGAACACACGUCUCCGCCCACACACGUACUAAGCACACGCUGCACCCCUGA